UGCCAGCAGCCGCGGUAAUACGGAGGGGGUUAGCGUUGUUCGGAAUUACUGGGCGUAAAGCGCGCGUAGGCGGUUUGUUAAGUCAGCUGUGAAAGCCCUGGGCUCAACCUGGGAACUGCAGUUGAUACUGGCAGGCUGGAGUACGAGAGAGGGAGGUAGAAUUCCAUGUGUAGCGGUGAAAUGCGUAGAUAUAUGGAGGAAUACCAGUGGCGAAGGCGGCCUCCUGGCUCGAUACUGACGCUGAGGUGCGAAAGCGUGGGUAGCAAACAGGAUUAGAUA
rnacentral:rRNA from 1 species